rnacentral:rRNA from 1 species
GACGUAGCAAAAACAUUUUCCGGUUGUAGCAAAAUCGACGACGCUUCCAGCAAAAAAUCCAAAGAUGAUAGUAGAACAAAUAGGUGCUAGUUCCAGCAAAAACUAAGACAAUGGUAGCAAAAAAAUCAUUUGGUUCCAGCAAAACUCAAAGACAGUGGUAGCAAAAGAAUCAUUUGGUUGCAGCAAAAAGCAAAGCAAUGGUACCAAAAAAAAAAGUACUGGAUCUUGCAAAAUUCAGAGACGAUGGUAUUACCAAGUAGCAAAAAUUACCGUCAGUAGCAGCAAAACACAUCUCUGUUUCCAGCAAAACAACAUCUUGGUUCCAGCAAGAUUCAGAGACGAUGGUAGUACCAUGUAGCAAAAAUUACCGUCGGUGGCAGCAAAACACAUCUAUGUUUCCAGCAAAACAAACAUCUUGGUUCCAACAAAAUUCACCGCUGGCACCAAUUCGAGCAAAGGAAACACCAGUUCCAGCAAAAAAUUCCUCCCAUAGCAGAAAACAUAUCACUGGUUCCAGCAAAAAUAGAACUUGGUUCCAGCAGAAAAUCACCGCCGACACCGAUCCAAGAAAAAAGAACACACCAGUUCCAGCAAAAAUUACAGCUGGUAGCAGCAAAAAACACCACGGGUUCCAGCAUCCCUGAUGUCACCGUUUCCAGCGCCGCCACAUCCCGCAGGUGGCCGUCGCCGGUCGCAGCUCCUAGACGGCCGGUUGCAGCUUCCCACAAACCGAUUGCAGCAAAAAAGUGAGGACCUCCGAAGUAGCAGGCACGGCUGCUGAUCUGCUGGUGGCCGCUUCGGCUCCACGGCAACGCUCGCGGCGGUGGCACACCAAAUGACAGCCGAGUAAUAAG